rnacentral:misc_RNA from 1 species
GGAUGGCCAGAUCAAGACUGAACCUAUGCCAACCUUGAAUUUUAAUAGGACUAGUUUAAGCUGGGAUGUGUUAAGUUCAGAUUCCAGUGGGUUGAAUCCGAGUGAAGUUUUUGAUGAUGGUGAUGGGGAUAAUGAUGGAUGGGAAUUCAAGGGUGCGGAUUCCAAGCCCCAGGCUGGAGAUGAGACGGAUGGCCAGAUCAAGACUGAACCUAUGC